rnacentral:lncRNA from 1 species
AUGCAGGAUAAGCGUCGUCCAGACUUCACUUCAUUCCAAAGAGACUUCGCCUACUUCUUUGAAAUAGGACUUUACAUUUCCUUUUUAUCAUUUUUUUGUAAACUAUCAGUUUCUGUUUUUCAGUUGGCAAGAGCCAAAGCGAGGGUUUUCAGACAAUCUGCUUCUUCGAAUGGGUCCACCAAGUCCCUUCCUGCCAGAGUUGAGCGACUGAAACCAGCAAAAAAGAAAAGGUCAAGGAGUGAGGACCUUUCUGAGAGCGACAGCAGCACACCUUUCAUCCACAGCAUGCUGCGUAAAGACAAGCCCAAGAUGGAUUACACUAGAAAGAAGGCGAAAGUUAGGAGCAAACUGAAGGUCCUUCCUGUCUCCUCACCCAGCAGUAAUGAGGAGGCCGGUGUCAAGCGUCCAAAAGCUCUUCUCAGCAGAGCUGAACGUCAUCCAGCCUUCUCUACCCCUAUAAAUCCUCAUGUGAAACUUAUCAGAUUACCAAACGUCAAAAGCCCUCAUGGAGAUUCAGGUGAUACCACUCUCUUCAUUUUUAAAAAAUAAUUCUCUGUAAUGCUUUGUGAUUAUUUGAGAUGAUUUCUAUUUUUUUUUUAUUUUUUUUGUAAAAGGAUUUCGUGAACAUUCUCUCUUUGAAAGCACAACGUGUGAUGUUCCUGCCGAAGAGG